ensembl:lincRNA
GAUAAAACAAAGUCAUCCUGCCCUUGCUUCUGAAUCAUAUGUGUCCUCGCCAACACCUGAGGCAGUGAAAAAAGAUGAAGAAAUGACAGUAUCUGGUCUCAGUGUUUCUCACUACAUUGUUGUAGAGAUAUUUAGUAUCUCAGAUACAGCAUUAACUCUUCAUCGUCCUUGUGCUGCUUUGAUAACAGCUGUGCUCGGAAACCCCACCAACGUGCCUGUUAUGUUGGGAGCUAAAGUCACAAGGGCUUGUGGAGAGAAGGACACCCCCUCCCAGCCUGUCUCCCCAAAAAACAGUUACUAUAGCCUAAGAGGGCACAAUUGUGACUGCAUCAACCAACCGCAGAACAGCACAAACAGUGCUGUGUAACUUUCAAGACUAAGUUAGAGAGACAGUAUCAUUCCAGCUUGCACUGGGUUGAAGAGUGCUGCACAAAAAUUCAUGUCCAACUGGGACUUAAGAAUGUGACCUUAUUUAGAAAUAGUCUUUGCAGAUAUAAUUAGUCAGGAUGAGGACAUCACAGAUUAUGGUGGACCUUAGUUCCAAUAUAGCUGGCCUCCUUAAAAAUGAGCAGAUACAGACACACACAAAAGGAAGAUGACCAUGUGGCAAGGGAAGCAGAGAAUGGAGUGGUGCAGCUGCAAAGCUAAGGGACACCAUGGAUUCCUAGCAAGUACCAGAAACCAAAAGAGGCAUGGGAGAAUUCUUUCCUAGAGCCUUCAGAAGGACUACAGCCUUGCCAAUGCUUUGAUUUCAGCUAUCUAGCCUCUAGAACUAGGAGAAUGAAUUUCUGUUUUAAGUCACCCAUUUUGGGGCAUUUUGUUACAGCAGCCUUAGGAAACCAGUACAAACUUUGUGGGCUAUAACACUCAUGUUUGAAGGCUGAUCUUUGAUGUGGUAAGUUCAACUACUCUGUGUCUCACCAUGCAGUGAGGAAGUCCAGGCCAUGUGGGGAGAUCACAUGAAGGUACCUCAGCCAACAGCCCAAGCUGAGGUCCCUAUUGAUAGCCCACAUCAAACGCCAGCCAUGUGAGCGGAGACGCCUCAAAAUGACUCCAGCCCCAGCUGUCAAACUGCCCCCAGCACUGGAGGUCUCCCAGCUGAAAUCCUAGAUAUUAUGGAAUCGACAAGCCAUCUUUAUUGUAUCCUGUCCCAGUUCCUGAUCCACAAAUUCUUUAAGCAUAAUAAAGGGAGAAUGUGUGCCACAAAAUUAUGUCGUGAUUUCUUAUGCAGGAAUAGCAACUGAAACAGAAUUGUCAUUCCAAACUUGAGUUCUGCCAUAUCAAGAGCUUAAAACAUCUGGGAUUGGGCAGUGGGCAGAAGCCGGAAAGACCUUAAAGAGACAGUUGGUCAGAGUAAGUGACAGCUAGUGAAGCUAGCAGAGGUUAGGAAGACCUUAAGGAGACUUUAGUGACAGCUGGUAUGACAGGGAGGAAAUUGUUACUGGAGGCUAGGAAAAACCUGACCUCUGCUUUAUAGUGGCACAAAGUUUGGCAACCCCAUUGCCUGUAAUGACAUGGAAAAUAAAAGAUGAGCCUAAUAAACUGGUGAAUUUGUCUAAGGAUAUUUCUCAGGCAGGAUGCUGAAAGUGCCAAUCUGUUUCUUUCAGCCAUGUGUGAGGCACAGAUACAAAGAUAUAAGGAAAGAAAUUACCGGCCAACUUUCAAGCAAGCUUUAAAGAAAAUAUAAAAAGCCUCACUGGGUUUGAAAAAACAAAAACAAGACCAAAACCCUUGUUCAUUCAGCAUCUCCCAGGAGAAGAUUCUCAAAGUGAGAAAGGGCCUUAGUGCAAAGACCCAAAUCAAG